rnacentral:tRNA from 1 species
AAGGGUGUAGCUCAGUGGUAGAGUGUGUGCUUCACAUGCACGAGGUCCUGGGUUCAAUCCCCAGUACCUCCA